ensembl:lncRNA
UAACAACAGGAGCUGUAGCAAUAAUAACAACGAAAACUGUAGCAAUAAUAACAACAAAAGCUGUAACAAUAAUAACAACAAAAGCUGUAACAAUAAUAGUAGCCAAAUUAAACAAACUGAUACACAUGAUAUAUUUAAUAUGUCAUAUGUGGGUGGGUGUACAAAAAUGGAUGACCAAUAUCAUGUAACACAUGAUAAGAUUCAAAACAAAAAUUGUAAUAAAAAAAAAACUGAAAAUAAUAAAGUAGAUAACAGUACACAAACUCAUAAUGAUAUUAUUUAUAAUUUUUUAUUAAACCAUGAAAACUGCAACAACUUAGAAAUAAUAUGGGAUAAACAUGGAAAUACCAAAAUAAAAGGAGAAUCGUUUAUUUUUUUUUUAAAAACAUUACUACAAUUAUAUAAAAAAGAAUUAACAAUGAAAAAUGAAGAAAUUAAUUUGAUUGAAAAACUAAAACAAAAAAAAAUUGAUGAUAUUAAAGAAAUACAUAACAUUGAAUUAGCAAAUCUUAAACAAAAACAUAAAAGUGAAAUAUGUUUUUUAAAAAAUCAAAAUGUAGAAAACAUAAUUAAAGUAAGAAAAAGUUUUGAAAAUAAAUUAAAUAAUAUAGAAGAAGAUUUAAUGUUAGAUAUAGACAUUCUAACAUCCCAAAAUAAAAAAGCUAAAAAUGUCUCUAUAUAUAAUAAAGAAAUGAAACAAACAAAAUUAAUAACUGUAAACACAACAGAAUAUAAAGAAAAAUAUGAUCAAAGCGAUAGUAAUGAUGGAGAAGAUAAAAGUAGCAACUAUGAAAGCAAUAAACACAUAGAGUAUUAUAUUAAAAAAAUAAAACAUUUAGUUAACGAAAAAAAUAAAGCACACAUAUUAAACAAUGAAUUUAUACAACAAGAAAUGUUAAAAAUAAAAAAUGUAAUAAAUAGUAUAAAUAUAGAAACUGAAAAAAAAGUUAAAUUAUCUGAGGCAAAUAAACUAACAUUAUAUCAAGUAUUAGAGUUUUUAGAGCAAUAUACAAAAAAUAUAAAAAACGGUGAAAAACAGUUAAAUAUGAAUAAAAAUACAACAGAACAAAUAAAAGAAUCCAUUUGCACUAUUAUACAAAACAUAAAAUUAAAUAAUUUGAAAAAUGAAACAAUAUUAAAUUUAAUCAAUGAAAGUACAUUAAUCUCUUUAUUAUUGCACAUGAUAUCUUUGUUCAGUAUUAAAAACGUAAAAUCAGAAAUUAUGGAAAUAAAAAAAAAAAAAAAUCAUUUUAUUAGAGGUUAUUUUGAAAACGAAAAUACAUCCGACUCGAUUUUGAAUAAAGAAAAUGUUAUAUGUGAUAAAUUUGAAGACAACAUCGAGACUUUGAGUAAACAAAACGGGGGUUAUAACAAGGGAGGCGAGGAAGAUAUCAACAGGUUCGAUAGUAAUGAGUUUAACAGUAACGAAUUUGAUGGUAAUGGAUUAGGUAGCAACAACAACAACAACAACAGCAGCAAUAACAACACACUGUCCAACGAAUUGUUAAGCAAUGAAAUAAUAAAAUACGAAACAGCAAUAGAAACAAAUGAGAAAUUUCAAAAAAUAAAAAAAAAAAAUAAAAAAUUAUUAUAUAUGAAUGAAUAUUAUAAAAAAAAAUUAGAUCAUAUUGAAAUAUGGAAAAACAAUUUAGAAAAUUUAAAAAAUAAAUUUAAGAUACAUAAUUCUGAAAAUAAAUAUAACAUUGACUUAUUUAAUAAUUUAAAAACAGAUGAUACAAAUCAUAUAAAUAAACAAAAACAAUUUUUUUUUAUUCCAUGCCCACAAUUUUAUCUAAACGCUUUUAAAGAAGAAAACGAAAGAGAUAUUAAAUUAAUGGGUUUAUUAAAACAACUAGGUCGGACAGAUAUUCAAACAGCAAUAGAUAUUUUUAAAAAUAAAGACGUAAACACAUUUAGGGUUAGUGCGUCUGACAAUGAGCUGAAUUCAUUUAAUACAAGCAAUAUGUAUAACCCGGAUAAUCAUAAAUAUGAAACAGUAUAUGUUAAUCCAAACACACAAGGACAAACACCAACAUAUGGGCAUAAUACUUCCCAUUAUCACUUUUUGCAACAGUCAACUACUUUUACAAACUUACAAACUUUCUCUUUUUUAAAUAAAAAUGAAAAAUUACAAAACAAAAUGGCAAUCGAUGCAAAUGCUAACGAUAACAACCAUUCAAUAUAUAACCCUACUAGUGACAUAACCAUGAUUGACACAAUGAUAAAUAAAAAAAUAAACGAAAAAAUAAUCGAAAAAAUAAACGAAAAAAUAAAUGAAAAAAUAAACGAAAAAAUAAACGAAAAAAUAAACGAAAAAAUAAACGAAAAAAUAAACGAAAAAAUAAACGAAAAAAACGAUAGCAGC